rnacentral:rRNA from 1 species
UACAGAGGUCCCAAGCGUUUGUUCGGAUUCACUGGGCGUAAAGGGUGCGUAGGUGGUAGGGUAAGUCGGAUGUGAAAUCUCCGAGCUCAACUCGGAAAUGGCAUUGGAAACUACCCUGCUAGAGGGUCGGAGGGGGGACUGGAAUACUUGGUGUAGCAGUGAAAUGCGUAGAUAUCAAGUGGAACACCAGUGGCGAAGGCGGCUCACUGGCCCGUAACUGACGCUGAGGUGCGAAAGCGUGGGGAGCAAACAGG